rnacentral:rRNA from 1 species
UACGGGGGGAGCAAGCGUUGUUCGGAUUUACUGGGCGUAAAGGGCUCGUAGGUGGCCAACUAAGUCAGACGUGAAAUCCCCAGGCUCAACUUGGGAACUGCGUCUGAUACUGGAUGGCUUGAAUUCGGGAGAGGGAUGCAGAAUUCCAGGUGUAGCGGUGAAAUGCGUAGAUAUCUGGAGGAAUACCGGUGGCGAAGGCGGCAUCCUGGACCGAGAUUGACACUGAUGAGCGAAAGCUAGGGGAGCAAACGGG